GAUGAACGCUGGCGGCGUGCCUAAUACAUGCAAGUCGAGCGAACAGAUACGGAGUUUGCUCCUUUGACGUUAGCGGCGGACGGGUGAGUAACGCGUGGGUAACCUACCUAUAAGACUGGAAUAAUUCCGGGAAACCGGGGCUAAUGCCGGAUAACAUUCAGAACCGCAGUGUUGUUAAGUAAAAGAUGGCUGUACUAUUACUUAUAGAUGGACCCGCGCCGUAUUAGCUGGUUGGUAAGGUAACGGCUUAUCAAGGCAACGAUACGUAGGCGACCUGAGAUGCUGAUCGGCCACCCUGGAACGUCGACACGGUCAAGCCUCCUACGGGAGGCACCAGUCGGGAAUCUUCCGCAAUAGUCGAAAGCCUGGCAGAGCAACGCCGAGUGAGUUACGAAGGCCUCCGGAUCGUGAAACUCUGUUAUUAGUUAAAAACAAAUGUGUAAGUUACUGUAGAGGUCUUGACGGUACCUAAUCAGAAAGCCACGGCUAACUACGUG
rnacentral:rRNA from 1 species